CGACCGGAGGGUUCGCCCACCUCUCCCGCGUUUACCCCUCGGUUCGCCGACCUCUCCCGUCGAGCCGCCGACGCCACCGCC
rnacentral:sRNA from 1 species